CUGUGCUGGGUAGAGAGGAACCAGGCUCUGAGGGGUGGCCAGUCCUCUUCUGGCUGUGCUGGGUAGAGAGGAACCAGGCUCUGAGGGGUGGCCAGUCCUCUUCUGGCUGUGCUGGGUAGAGAGGAACCAGGCUCUGAGGGGUGGCCAGUCCUCUUCUGGCUGUGCUGGGUAGAGAGGAACCAGGCUCUGAGGGGUGGCCAGUCCUCUUCUGGCUGUGCUGGGUAGAGAGGAACCAGGCUCUGAGGGGUGGCCAGUCCUCUUCUGGCUGUGCUGGGUAGAGAGGAACCAGGCUCUGAGGGGUGGCCAGUCCUCUUCUGGCUGUGCUGGGUAGAGAGGAACCAGGCUCUGAGGGGUGGCCAGUCCUCUUCUGGCUGUGCUGGGUAGAGAGGAACCAGGCUCUGAGGGGUGGCCAGUCCUCUUCUGGCUGUGCUGGGUAGAGAGGAACCAGGCUCUGAGGGGUGGCCAGUCCUCUUCUGGCUGUGCUGGGUAGAGAGGAACCAGGCUCUGAGGGGUGGCCAGUCCUCUUCUGGCUGUGCC